CAUUUUCCAAGGAAAUCACAUGCAUCACUUUUCUCAUUUUAUUCACGUGCACCCCUUUUUUUCUUUUUUUUCCUUCCUUCCUUUUUUUAUUUCUCUUUUUUCCGUUUUUCAUGUUCUUUUUUUCUUUUCUUUUUCCUUUUUUUUCUUUUAAAAAUUUUUUGCUUUUUUUUAUUCUUUCUUCGUUUCUUUUUUGUAAUUACUUUUUUUUAAAACAAAAUAGUAAAAUAAAAUUAAG
rnacentral:lncRNA from 1 species